AUGACUCACACUUACAGCUCCGGCCCGCCUGAGCGUCACAGUCAUCAGCUUCUGUGGACUAGUUGAAAGGCACCUCCGUCUCCACGCCACCACCUUCUCCCUUGCCACCUCGUCUGUCACCUGGAUGACGUCAGUAGGCUCCUCACAGCUUCCACCCUCCAGUAUGCCAGGUUCUCUCCAGAUAAAAGUAAAACCCCAGGGCCCUCCCUGAUGGCUCAGCGGGUUAAAGCACA